rnacentral:rRNA from 1 species
AGCGAACGCUGGCGGCAGGCUUAACACAUGCAAGUCGAGCGGGCACUUUCGGGUGUCCGCGGCGGACGGGUGAGUAACGCGUGGGAACGUGCCCUCUGGUUCGGAAUAACUCAGGGAAACUUGAGCUAAUACCGGAUACGCCCUUUUGGAGAAAGGCUUGCUGCCGGAGGAUCGGCCCGCGUCUGAUUAGCUAGUUGGUGAGGUAACGGCUCACCAAGGCGACGAUCAGUAGCUGGUCUGAGAGGAUGAUCAGCCACACUGGGACUGAGACACGGCCCAGACUCCUACGGGAGGCAGCAGUGGGGAAUAUUGGACAAUGGGCGCAAGCCUGAUCCAGCCAUGCCGCGUGAGUGAUGAAGGCCUUAGGGUUGUAAAGCUCUUUUAUCCGGGACGAUAAUGACGGUACCGGAGGAAUAAGCCCCGGCUAACUUCGUG